GACGAACGCUGGCGGCGUGCUUAACACAUGCAAGUCGAACGGAAAGGCCCUGCUUGCAGGGUACUCGAGUGGCGAACGGGUGAGUAACACGUGGGUGAUCUGCCCUGCACUUCGGGAUAAGCCUGGGAAACUGGGUCUAAUACCGGAUAGGAGCCAUUUUUAGGGUGAUGGUGGGAAAGUUUUUUUCGGUGUAGGAUGAGCUCGCGGCCUAUCAGCUUGUUGGUGGGGUAAUGGCCUACCAAGGCGGCGACGGGUAGCCGGCCUGAGAGGGUGGACGGCCACAUUGGGACUGAGAUACGGCCCAGACUCCUACGGGAGGCAGCAGUGGGGAAUAUUGCACAAUGGGCGCAAGCCUGAUGCAGCGACGCCGCGUGGGGGAUGACGGCCUUCGGGUUGUAAACUCCUUUCGCUAGGGACGAAGCUUUUUGUGACGGUACCUAGAUAAGAAGCACCGGCUAACUACGUG
rnacentral:rRNA from 1 species